rfam:Anopheles melas strain CM1001059_A cont2.24104, whole genome shotgun sequence.
CAAUCGGCUCUUUUCAGAGCCACCAAUUGAUUUAUUAAGAACAUCU